UCUUAUGGAUGUGCAAAGAAAGUGGUUUCUUGAGAUGGAAUCUAUUCCUCAUGAAGAUGCAUGAA
rnacentral:pre_miRNA from 1 species